rnacentral:sRNA from 1 species
CGCAAUACUACAUAAACUCAAUUGAGUGUUACUUGUAAAAACGGCCAAAAGAAAAUUUUCUUAAAAAUUGAGAUGAAUCCCUAUGUCUAACUCCAUCACCCAAGAUAAGGCUACCCAAAAGGAGGAGAACGAUUUUUGUAUUCACAAUACAUCAACACAUACAUGCAUAUAUCCUUGCAGAUGAUGUGAACAGAGACGGUCGUGGUAUCAAUUUCUAUCGCCUUAAAUGAUUUCAAUAGAAUAAAACCAUGGGACAUGGACAUUUCUAUAUCCUUCACUACAUACUAUAUUCAAGCAACACCUUUACCAAAAACAAAGAAGAGUGUUCAACUUUAAGACAGGUAAAGAAAGUCAAAAGUCGUGCAAUACACUAGGGCAGGUGCCUAUAAGUUCAAAUUGGAUAAAUACCACAAUAUAGACACUAUAUCUAAUUCCGAAGAGAAUUUAAUGGACUUUGGAUGAGAUUUCAGAUGGGUAAUAAAACAAUUCUUACUUAUUUCGAGCAACUCUGUGCAAAAUUGUAAGUUCUACAGCUCCACAAAAGCAAAUCGAUGAUACAUAUAUAGAUAGCUAUAUCCUAAAAGAUUUUGAUAAAACUCACUUAAAAUAUCAGCAGUCAUUAGAGAAUAAUAUAUGUCAAUUUUCGCAAUAUUUUUUCAAUAUAACUUAAAACCGGACGAACAUACAUAUAUAUGGGAGCUGAACGGAUUUCGAUCAAACCCCGGACAUAACAGUAGAAAAAGGAGUUCCUCAAGCAUCUAUUAAUGGUCCACUUGUAUUUUCAAUGUAUGCUAAUGAUCUUGCUAUUCAACUAACUCACUGUCAAGAACAUAUAUAUUGUGUUAAAUUAUACACAAGAAUAUAUGAAUAUCCAUGCGAAACUUUGACGUCUAUGUAAACAAUAACAAUUAAAAGCGUGCUUUGUUCGAGUUCUU